CUAGAUCACAUUGAAAUACUGGUUCCCAUAUGGUCACCAAAGUUAAACAAUGUUGAGCCUGGUCAGUACCUAGAUUGGUGACUGCUUGGGAAUACCAGGUGCUGUAAG